UAUAUUUUAGUGUAAGAAGCACAAUAAUUUUUGAUAUUAUUAGAUUUAGUUUAAUUCUAGAAAAUAUAA
rnacentral:tRNA from 1 species